AACGAACGCUGGCGGCGUGCCUAAUACAUGCAAGUCGAGCGGACCUCUUCGGAGGUCAGCGGCGGACGGGUGAGUAACACGUGGGCAACCUGCCUGUAAGACUGGGAUAACUCCGGGAAACCGGAGCUAAUACCGGAUACUAUGUCAAACCGCAUGGUUUGACAUUCAAAGACGGUUUCGGCUGUCACUUACAGAUGGGCCCGCGGCGCAUUAGCUAGUUGGUGAGGUAACGGCUCACCAAGGCGAUGAUGCGUAGCCGACCUGAGGGGGUGAUCGGCCACACUGGGACUGAGACACGGCCCAGACUCCUACGGGAGGCAGCAGUAGGGAAUCUUCCGCAAUGGACGAAAGUCUGACGGAGCAACGCCGAGUGAGUGAUGAAGGUUUUCGGAUCGUAAAACUCUGUUGUCAGGGAAGAACAAGUGCCGGAGUAACUGCCGGCGCCUUGACGGUACCUGACCAGAAAGCCACGGCUAACUACGUGCCAGCCGCCGCCGUAAAAC
rnacentral:rRNA from 1 species